UUAUAAUUGUGUCAAAGGGAC
rnacentral:piRNA from 1 species